GACGAACGCUGGCGGCGUGCUUAACACAUGCAAGUCGAACGAAGUGGCGAACGGGUGAGUAAUACGUGGGUAACCUGCCCUCCUUUUUGGGAUAAGCCUUGGAAACGGGGUCUAAUACCGAAUAAAGGGGGAUGGGCUCGCGGCCUAUCAGCUUGUUGGUGGGGUGAUGGCCUACCAAGGCGGUGACGGGUAGCCGGCCUGCGGGGGUGACCGGCGACAUGUGGGCUGGGAGACGGCCCAGGUUACUACGGGAGGCAGCAGUGGGGGAUAUUGGAAAAUGGGCGACAGCGUGAUGCCGCGUAGCCGCGUGGGGGAUUGAGGCUUUCGGGUUGUGAAGCUGUUGCGCUAUCGACCGGGUAGGUGCAGAAGAAGCGCCGGCUAACUACGUGCCAGCAGCCGCGGUAAUUC
rnacentral:rRNA from 1 species